GAUGAAGAACGUAGCAAAAUGCGAUACUUGGUGUGAAUUGCAGAAUCCCGUGAACCAUCGAGUUUUUGAACGCAAGUUGCGCCCGAAGCCUUUUGGCCGAGGGCACGUCUGCCUGGGCGUCACGCAUCGCGUCGCCCCCCACAAUUCUCCGAAAAGGGAACAUGUGUUUUGGGGGCGGAUAUUGGUCUCCCGUGCUCAUGGCGUGGUUGGCCGAAAUAGGAGUCCUUUCGAUGGACGCACGAACUAGUGGUGGUCGUAAAAACCCUCGUCUUUUGUUUCGUGCUGUUGCUCGCAAGGUAAACUCUUUAAAAACCCCAAUGUGUCGUCUCUUGACGACGCUUCGACCGCGACCCCAGGUCAGGCGGGACUACCCGCUGAGUUUAAGCAUAUCAAUAAGCGGAGGA
rnacentral:misc_RNA from 1 species